ensembl:lncRNA
CUUCGUGAAAAACCACCCAGGCUUGGCUGAUAGUGAGGUGGCUAAAAUUUGUUUAAUCGCCCGAUCGCUCGGCAAGGGUCUGUGUCUUAGCUGGACUUAUUUUUCGUUUAUAUGGGCCGAUGAUGCUGGUCGAUGUGGAAAAAAUAACUGAGUUGUUUGGUGGUGGAGCUACAACAGAGGGCAGCUAUCCACCUGUGUGUGACAGAAAGGACAUGCCGCCAACGAGACAUACGAGGCCGGGCAGGCGAUUGCUAACGCGGUGGUCAAUCAUGGAUCAGGGAAAGCGAAGGCAGGAGGGUGAGGUGAACUGAAUUUCAGCACUUGUUUGUUACCAGGGGGCAAGCAAAGGAAAGGAGGAAAGCAAAGAGGACAGAAGUAAAUAUAGCCAUUGACAUGCCGAAGAGGUUAACACUGAGGAGCGGAUCGAAAUUGUGUUGAUAUCUGGUGAAUGCAGUAACCGGGUCAUUGCAGCAGAUUUCAAUGCAAGACACCCUACGAGACCACCCAUCUCCCAUGCUACAGUUAGCAAACUGCUUGCUAAGUUUCAUGAAACUGGUUCAGUGUUGGAUUUGCCAAAAUGUGGACACAAGAAAACUGUCACUAAUGAAGAAACAUCAGUGGCUGUCCUAGCUUCAUUCAGCAAGAGCCCUCAGCGUAGCACUCGCCGCAUGUCACUGGAGAGUGCCAUUAGUCGAACAUCCCUUCGGCGGAUAUUAGCUACUCACAAAUGGUACCCUUACAAACUCCAGCUACUGCAGCAUCUCAAUGAGGAUGACCCAGAUCGGUGCACAGAAUUUGCAGAAUGGGCAAAACAAAAAUUGGAACAGGACCCUCAGUUCAUGCAGAAGAUUUUGUUCAGUGAUGAAAGGCAAAUUUUUAUGUCAAUGGUGAAGUUAACAAACAAAACCACCGCUACUGGUCUGAUACU